rnacentral:lncRNA from 1 species
CGUCCAAAUGCACUAUCUUGCUUUGUUUUUGGAAUUCGUAUUUAAGUUUGAUAUCUUUUUUGCAGCUGCUGGAAAGUGGUCGCAGAAAAUUUCUCUUAUGGGAGUUAUGGAGGAGUUGGGGAGGAAGAACAAAGUAUUCAGCAGCUGAGAUUCAAAGCUGCUUUGCUUUCUUUCUCAAGUUGAAUUUUAGUAGAUGUGAAUUAUGUGAUGCGUUUUCGUGCAAUUUUUUGGUGCAGUUUUGGUGCAGUUGUGGUGUAAUUUUUGCUGCAGUUUAGUUGCUGUUUUUUGUGCAGUUUUGGUGCUGUUUAGCUGCUGUUUUUUGUGCAGUUUUGUGCAGUUUUUUGUUGCAGUUUCAGUGCAGUUUUUUGCUGCAGGUUUGGUACAGUUCUUGGUGUUGUUUUGCUGCAGAUUUGGUGCAGUUUUUGGUGUUGUUGCUGUUUUUGGUGCAAUUUUGGUGCAUAUUCAUUAAUUAAUAUACAAGAAAAAUAAGACCAUCUUAUGCAUAAAUAUGUGUAUAUUUUAAAUUGUACAUUUUUUUCUCAAAAACCAAACCGAAACCGUUUGAAACAGCACCGAACCGAACCAAACGGUUUGGUUUCAUUUCGGUUUUGGCUUCAAAACCGCACCGCAAAAAGUUUCGAUUUCGGUUGUGGUUUCACUCGAAACCGC